ACGAACGCUGGCGGCGUGCCUAACACAUGCAAGUCGAGCGAGAAAGUCCCGGCAACGGGAUGAGUAAAGCGGCGAACGGGUGAGUAACGCGUAGGUAAUCUAUCCUUCGGAUUGGGAUAACCUGCUGAAAGGUGGGCUAAUACCGAAUAAUGUUCUUGUGGGAAUCUCACGGGGACCAAAGGGGGCGAGCGUAAGCAGCUCUCACCAAAGGAGGAGCCUGCGUCCGAUUAGCUAGUUGGUGGGGUAACGGCCUACCAAGGCGACGAUCGGUAGCCGGCCUGAGAGGGCGACCGGCCACACUGGAACUGAGACACGGUCCAGACUCCUACGGGAGGCAGCAGUGGGGAAUAUUGCGCAAUGGGCGAAAGCCUGACGCAGCGACGCCGCGUGGGUGAUGAAGGCCUUCGGGUCGUAAAGCCCUGUCAGGUGGAACGAAUGACUUGGCGGCGAAUAACCGCCGGGUGUGACGGUACCACCGAAGGAAGCCCCGGCUAACUACGUGCCAGCAGCCGCGGUAAGACGUAGGGGGCGAGCGUUGUUCGGAUUUACUGGGCGUAAAGCGCGCGUAGGCGGCUAGAUAAGUCGGGUGUGAAAGCCCUCGGCUCAACCGAGGUCCCGCAUCCGAUACUGCCUGGCUGGAGUCUAGGAGAGGAAAGCGGAAUUCCCAGUGUAGCGGUGAAAUGCGUAGAUAUUGGGAGGAACACCGGUGGCGAAGGCGGCUUUCCGGACUAGUACUGACGCUGAGGCGCGAAAGCUAGGGGAGCGAACGGGAUUAGAUACCCCGGUAGUCCUAGCCGUAAACGAUGGGCACUAGGUGUGGGAGGUAUUGACCCCUUCCGCGCCGAAGCUAACGCAUUAAGUGCCCCGCCUGGGGAGUACGGCCGCAAGGCUAAAACUCAAAGGAAUUGACGGGGGCCCGCACAAGCGGUGGAGCAUGUGGUUUAAUUCGACGCAACGCGAAGAACCUUACCAGGGCUUGACAUCCCACGAACCUGCCUGAAAGGGCAGGGUGCCCGCAAGGGAGCGUGGAGA
rnacentral:rRNA from 1 species